rnacentral:rRNA from 1 species
UACGUAGGGUGCAAGCGUUAAUCGGAAUUACUGGGCGUAAAGCGUGCGCAGGCGGUUAUGUAAGACAGUUGUGAAAUCCCCGGGCUCAACCUGGGAACUGCAUCUGUGACUGCAUAGCUAGAGUACGGUAGAGGGGGAUGGAAUUCCGCGUGUAGCAGUGAAAUGCGUAGAUAUGCGGAGGGAACACCGAUGGCGAAGGCAAUCCCCUGGACCUGUACUGACGCUCAUGCACGAAAAGGCGUGGGGGA